UACGUAGGGUGCAAGCGUUAAUCGGAAUUACUGGGCGUAAAGCGUGCACAGGCGGUUCGCUAAGACCGAUGUGAAAUCCCCGGGCUUAACCUGGGAACUGCAUUGGUGACUGGCGGGCUAGAGUAUGGCAGAGGGGGGUAGAAUUCCACGUGUAGCAGUGAAAUGCGUAGAGAUGUGGAGGAAUACCGAUGGCGAAGGCAGCCCCCUGGGCCAAUACUGACGCUCAUGCACGAAAGCGUGGGGAGCAAACAGG
rnacentral:rRNA from 1 species